GAAAUGCGAUAAGUAAUGUGAAUUGCAGAAUUCAGUGAAUCAUCGAAUCUUUGAACGCACCUUGCACUCCUUGGUAUUCCUUGGAGCAUGCCUGUUUGAGUAUCAUGAAAUCUUCAAAGUAAAUCUUUUGUUAACUCAAUUGGUUUCUACUUUGGUAUUGGAGGUCUUUGCAGCUUCACACCUGCUCCUCUUUGUUCAUUAGCUGGAUCUCAGUGUUAUGCUUGGUUCCACUCGGCGUGAUAAGUUAUCUAUCGCUGAGGACACUGUAAAAGGUGGCCAAGGUAAAUGCAGAUGAACCGCUUCUAAUAGUCCAUUGACUUGGACAAUACUUUUAUGAUCUGAUCUCAAAUCAGGUAGGACUACCCGCUGAACUUAAGA
rnacentral:misc_RNA from 1 species